CAGUAGCCGCGGGAAUACGGAGGGUGCAAGCGUUAAUCGGAAUUACUGGGCGUAAAGCGCACGCAGGCGGUUUGUUAAGUCAGAUGUGAAAUCCCCGGGCUCAACCUGGGAACUGCAUCUGAUACUGGCAAUCUUGAGUCUCGUAGAGGGGGGUAGAAUUCCAGGUGUAGCGGUGAAAUGCGUAGAGAUCUGGAGGAAUACCGGUGGCGAAGGCGGCCCCCUGGACGAAGACUGACGCUCAGGUGCGAAAGCGUGGGGAGCAAACAGGAUUAGAUACCCGCGUAGUCCCUGUCUCUUAUAC
rnacentral:rRNA from 1 species